rnacentral:rRNA from 1 species
GAUGAACGCUGGCGGCGUGCCUAAUACAUGCAAGUCGAGCGAACGGACGAGAAGCUUGCUUCUCUAAUGUUAGCGGCGGACGGGUGAGUAACACGUGGAUAACCUACCUAUAAGACUGGGAUAACUUCGGGAAACCGUAGCUAAUACCGGAUAAUAUUUUGAACCGCAUGGUUCAAAAGUGAAAGACGGUCUUGCUGUCACUUAUAGAUGGAUCCGCGCUGCAUUAGCUAGUUGGUAAGGUAACGGCUUACCAAGGCAACGAUGCAUAGCCGACCUGGGAGGGUGAUCGGCCACACUGGAACUGAGACACGGUCCAGACUCCUACGGGAGGCAGCAGUAGGGAAUCUUCCGCAAUGGGCGAAAGCCUGACGGAGCAACGCCGCGUGAGUGAUGAAGGUCUUCGGAUCGUAAAACUCUGUUAUUAGGGAAGAACAUAUGUGUAAGUAACUGUGCACAUCUUGACGGUACCUAAUCAGAAAGCCACGGCUAACUACGUG